rnacentral:rRNA from 1 species
CCUACGGGAGGCAGCAGUAGGGAAUUUUCGGCAAUGGGGGGAACCCUGACCGAGCAACGCCGCGUGAACGAAGAAGUUAUUCGUAAUGUAAAGUUUUUUUAAAAGGGAAGAAAGAGAAAUUUGACGGUACCUGAAGAAUAAGCUUCGGGUAAACACGUGACAGCAGCCGCGGCAAUACGGAGGGGGCGAGCGUUAUCCGGAAUUAUUGGGCGAAAAGGUUGCGUAGGUGGCAUAGUAAGUCUGUUGUAAAAAUGCUGGGCUAAACCCAGUAGGGCAAAAGAUACUGCAAAGCUAGAGUAUGACAGAGGCAAGUGGAACUACAUGUGUAGCGGUAAAAUGCGUAAAUAUAUGUAAGAACACCAGUGGCGAAGGCAGCUUGCUGGGUCGAUACUGACAUUGAGGCACGAAAGCGUGGGGAGCAAACAGGAUUAGAUACCCCUGUAGUC